UGCGCAGGCGGUUUUGUAAGACAGUGGUGAAAUCCCCGGGCUCAACCUGGGAACUGCCAUUGUGACUGCAAGGCUGGAGUGCGGCAGAGGGGGAUGGAAUUCCGCGUGUAGCAGUGAAAUGCGUAGAUAUGCGGAGGAACACCGAUGGCGAAGGCAAUCCCCUGGGUCUGCACUGACGCUCAUGCACGAAAGCGUGGGGAGCAAACA
rnacentral:rRNA from 1 species